rnacentral:rRNA from 1 species
GCUGACGAGUGGCGAACGGGUGCGUAUCGCGUAUGCAACCUACCUUUAGCUGAGGAAUAGCCCAGAGAAAUUUGGAUUAAUACCUCAUAACACUAUUAAUUCGCAUGUUUUA